CAGAAUCAGACCUUCGCGAAGAUUUCUGAGGAGGAAGGGAACACCUUAAGCUCUGCUGGCAUUGAUGCUCCAUCAGCCUCUACAACAACAGCUGAGCUUGUGUUCGAAUCUUCAUUUCAAAGUCAGAAGUCAACAGUCCAUGCACAAGAAACAGCCACAUUGCAGCAUGACACUAACAACGUAAGCUAUGGGGCCAGUAUUAAUUCCAGGGGCAUUUCCUUUGUGUAUGUAUCAGAUUAAUAAAAACUGAAAU